GUCUAAGCCAGGUCGAAUUCCUAUAGAAGAGAUGCAUGAAACAACAAAUUGCAUUGAACAUCAAAGACUUAAUGAUCUUGCUUUUGUUCAGUACAACAUGUGGCUGAGGCAAAGGAAGAACCAGGAGCCGGAUUGUAUGGACUCCAUUUCCUAUGAAAAAAUGGAACUUGUCCAUAAUUGGGUUUCCAGGAGGGAACAAAUGUCGGAGGACUUGGAAAGUUCAGACUGGAUGGCCGUUGACCCUCCUUUGGGAAGCAUAGCUCCCUUAGGUCCAUUAAUUGAUGAUAUUGAAGCCUUAGGCACAGGUUUUGAUGAUUUUGAAAUUUUUGGUGGACCAAAAGAUAGUGAAGAAGAGA
rnacentral:misc_RNA from 1 species